rnacentral:misc_RNA from 1 species
CAAACCUCAAGCCUUGCUUGGUGAUGGGUCCCGCCCGCGUGGCGGGCCCGAAACUCGUGGGCGCCCCAGAUCGGACUCCAAGCGUAGCAAAACCCUCGCUUGUGGAUGACCGGUCGGAGGCCGCCCCGGACCCCCUAAUUUAUCAAU